GACGAACGCUGGUGGCGUGCUUAACACAUGCAAGUCGAACGGAAAGGCCCUGCUUUUGUGGGGUGCUCGAGUGGCGAACGGGUGAGUAACACGUGAGUAACCUGCCCUUGACUUUGGGAUAACUUCAGGAAACUGGGGCUAAUACCGGAUAGGAGCUCCUGCUGCAUGGUGGGGGUUGGAAAGUUUCGGCGGUUGGGUAUGGACUCGCGGCUUAUCAGCUUGUUGGUGGGGUAGUGGCUUACCAAGGCUUUGACGGGUAGCCGGCCUGAGAGGGUGACCGGCCACAUUGGGACUGAGAUACGGCCCAGACUCCUACGGGAGGCAGCAGUGGGGAAUAUUGCACAAUGGGCGGAAGCCUGAUGCAGCAACGCCGCGUGCGGGAUGACGGCCUUCGGGUUGUAAACCGCUUUCGCCUGUGACGAAGCGUGAGUGACGGUAAUGGGUAAAGAAGCACCGGCUAACUACGUG
rnacentral:rRNA from 1 species